rnacentral:rRNA from 1 species
ACUCCUACGGGAGGCAGCAGUGGGGAAUAUUGGACAAUGGGCGAAAGCCUGAUCCAGCAACGCCGCGUGAGGGAUGACGGCCUUCGGGUUGUAAACCUCUUUCAGCAGGGACGAAGCGAGAGUGACGGUACCUGCAGAAGAAGGACCGGCCAACUACGUGCCAGCAGCCGCGGUAAUACGUAGGGUCCGAGCGUUGUCCGGAAUUAUUGGGCGUAAAGGGCUCGUAGGCGGUUUGUCGCGUCGGGAGUGAAAACUCAGGGCUCAACCCUGAGCGUGCUUCCGAUACGGGCAGACUAGAGGUAUUCAGGGGAGAACGGAAUUCCUGGUGUAGCGGUGGAAUGCGCAGAUAUCAGGAGUAGCACCGGUGGCGAAGGCGGUUCUUUGGGAAAUACCUGACGCUGAGGAGCGAAAGCAUGGGGAGCGAACAGGAUUAGAUACCCUGGUAGUCCAUGCCGUAAACGUUGGGCGCUAGGUGUGGGGACCUUCCACGGUUUCCGUGCCGCAGCUAACGCAUUAAGCGCCCCGCCUGGGGAGUACGGCCGCAAGGCUAAAACUCAAAGGAAUUGACGGGGGCCCGCACAAGCGGCGGAGCAUGCUGAUUAAUUCGAUGCAACGCGAAGAACCUUACCUGGGUUUGACAUAUGCCGGAAAGCUGCAGAGAUGUGGCCCCCUUUUGGUCGGUAUACAGGCGGUGCAUGGCUGUCGUCAGCUCGUGUCGUGAGAUGUUGGGUUAAGUCCCGCAACGAGCGCAACCCUCGUUCUAUGUUGCCAGCACGUUAUGGUGGGGACUCAUAGGAGACUGCCGGGGUCAACUCGGA